rnacentral:tRNA from 1 species
GCGAAGGUGGCGGAAUUGGUAGACGCGCUAGCUUCAGGUGUUAGUGUCCUUACGGUCGUGGGGGUUCAAGUCCCCCCCCUCGCACCA